rnacentral:lncRNA from 1 species
GCCGUAUACACUAUCAACAGACAUAUUAUCAAGUCUACUACUAACUUUUACACAUUCAAUCUGUCCAUAAAGAUCUUUUUUCUGUUGUUCUAAACGCUAAACUCAGAAACUAGCAACUCCGAUCCCGACUCCAUUCCUACAUCGUCUGUGAACAAUAGAGGGUGGGUUCAUAAAACUCAGUACAAUAAAAAUUAAGUUACAAUUAUGAUAUGCACCAAAUAUGAAAUCCAACAUAAGCUUACCUUGUCAUCACUAUAAGACUACGCAGGACUAAAACGUACUCUGGUAUCCUAAAUAUCAUGCAUACCAUGUGUGACCAUCCCUUAAUGUCACCCCAAGCAUACAAAUAUUCACACUCGUCACCAAUAUCGGCGACCAUCAAUAAACCGUCUAUCUCUCGACCCCUAAUAGACCACCCACACACACACAGAUACUAUCAUUCACCGUCACCAAUAUCAGCGACCAAAUCCAUUCUCGUCGGAGUCUCCUGACCAUCACCACCAUCGGCGAUCAACUUACUUUUCCUAAGUAGCGACAACCAAUAUCGGUGUCCCCCGAUGCUACCGACCCAACACAACAUCGUCCUGUCCUUACUCCCCUAUCUUAUCUUGAAGCUUUCUUAUACUUUUAACAUGUGUACCUAAACUACAUCCAUCUCCCCAUAAAGCACGCACUAACACCUAACACAUCCACACCUGUAACGUUCCCUUGCCAACUACUAAAUUUACAACAGCUAUACCAACUUAUAUACGACCCAUACCCUCACACCACACAGCUACCCCAUACAUCCCCUCGUCCUACACAGAGACACCCUCACACCUCCAUUCCGACACUUUAUUUCCUCCUCCCAAACUUUCUACAUCCACACGCACUACUUCCUCCCUUACAUAUAUUUACCUCACUCCCCAAAUCUCUUAUCUCUCCCUCUACAGCCUAUUUUAGAUACUUCACCCUCAAAUCCCGAAAUCACCUCACUCUCCUCCUGUGGUCCCCUCUGUCAACCUCCAUUCGUAAUCACACAACAUCUCCUCCCUCUCUUGAACCUCACUCACACCCUACACAUCUUCCUUUCCCUUCUCCCGCGGCCUAGCCUCCUCCAUACACCCUCACUCACACACAAUAGCUCCUCUCCCUCACAGACCGCACUCACACACACUGCACUCCUUCCUUUUUCUCCUCCCGCGGCCUAGCCUCCUCCAUACGCCCUCACUCACACACAAUAGCUCAUCUCCCUCACAGACUGCACUCACACACACCACACUCCUUCCUUUCUCUCCUCCUGCGGCCUAGCCUCUUCCAUACGCCCUCACUCACACACGAUAGCUCCUCUCCCUCACAGACUGCACUCACAUACA